CAUCCAUGGUUUGAUUUUUGGGUCAUGUGGUUGGGCCCAACCUCACUUCAUUUGUUACGCUAGUAGUCCAUGUAGGCUCGAGUUGUAAAAAUGGUAUCAAAGCAACCUACUAGCUUGAGUGCAUAACUAAGUGCAGUGUAGGACUAAGUGCUACUCUAUGGGAAGUUGGUGGGAGCCACUUCUAGAACUUGCAACUCACCUAGUGGGCCAAGAUUAUGGGAUAUUGGGCUAUGGUUUGACUCAUCAGUGAUUUGAAUGGGGAGUUUGUAAACAUCGAAAAUGAACUUAUGAUCUCAUUUUUGUAUAAGGGCCAGCCUAGUGAAAUACUACUAACAUCUAGGGGUUGACUUUUGGGCCAUGUGGUUAGGCUCAGGCUCGACAUAGUUGUUAGGCCAAUAGACCAUGCGGGCCUAGGUCAUGACAUUUUGUUUGUUCACCUCAAUUCCCCUCCCUACCAAAGGCAAAAAAAUGAUGUUUUAGCCUGGCCUUCAUUUGAUCUCCCAAUUUGACUUAUUCCGCUGGAUAUUAGUUUCUUAGAUAGUUCAAUCUCUCCUACUUGCAUUAUCUUUAUCUUAUUACUUUAUUAUAAGGUUGAAGAGGAAAGUGAUAGGGACUAGCGGAUUGCAUAGAAAUAACCCCUUAAAGAUUAUUUAACUAAAAAUAUCGAUACCUUUUUGCAAUUUCACUUAUGUUAUAAUAAAUUCUCCUUUUUAAUAAAUUCUAAAGCAAACAAAUGUUAAAUAGAGGGAAGGCCAUACUAGAAUUUGUUUUGGCUUAUGAUCUGCUUUUGGAAAACACCUGUUAUAUCUAAAAAAAUAUUGGGAAUUACACUUGAUUACCUUUAAGAGUGGAGGUAACUAUAUAGCCAAAUAGGCUUCUUCCUCAUUAGAAAAGGGGACAAAGCUCUAUGUAGAAUUGCAAAGAUAUGCCUAGUGAGGCUUUACUCAGCUCAAGCUAGUGGUUUUAGAUGUGAAGAUAAA
rnacentral:misc_RNA from 1 species